rnacentral:misc_RNA from 1 species
AAGUCGUAACAAGGUUUCCGUAGGUGAACCUGCGGAAGGAUCAUUACAGAGUUCAUGCCCGAAAGGGUAGACCUCCCACCCUUGUGUAUUAUUACUUUGUUGCUUUGGCGAGCUGCCUUCGGGCCUUGCGUGCUCGCCAGAGAAAACCAAAACUCUUUUUAUUAAUGUCGUCUGAGUACUAUAUAAUAGUUAAAACUUUCAACAACGGAUCUCUUGGUUCUG